rnacentral:rRNA from 1 species
UACGUAGGGUGCAAGCGUUAAUCGGAAUUACUGGGCGUAAAGCGUGCGCAGGCGGCUGAUUAAGCUUGAUGUGAAAUCCCCGGGCUCAACCUGGGAACUGCAUUGAGGACUGGUCGGCUAGAGUGUGGCAGAGGGAGAUGGAAUUCCACGUGUAGCAGUGAAAUGCGUAGAGAUGUGAAGGAACACCGAUGGCGAAGGCAGUCUCCUGGGCCAACACUGACGCUCAUGCACGAAAGCGUGGGGAGCAAACAGG